rnacentral:rRNA from 1 species
ACCUCAGUUCGGAUUGAAGGCUGAAAUUCGCCUUCAUGAAGUCGGAAUUGCUAGUAAUGGCAGGUCAGCAUACUGCCGUGAGUACGUUCCCGGGCCUUGUACACACCGCCCGUCACACCAUGAGAGUUGGAGAUACCCGAAGCCUAUGAGCUAACUUUUAGAGGCAGUAGUCGAAGGUAGAAUCAAUGAUUGGGGUGAAGUCGUAACAAGGUAUC